rnacentral:rRNA from 1 species
AGAGUUUGAUCCUGGCUCAGAGUGAACGCUGGCGGCGUGCUUAACACAUGCAAGUCGAACGAGAACGGAUUAUAGCUUGCUAUAAUUGUCAGCUAAGUGGCGCACGGGUGAGUAAUAUAUAGGUAACGUGCCCUAGAGAGGGGGAUAACAAUUGGAAACGAUUGCUAACACCCCAUAUGCCUUUAAUACACAUGUAUGCAAGGGAAAUAUUUAUAGCUCUGGGAUCGGCCUGUACGGUAUCAGCUAGUUGGUGAGGUAAUGGCUCACCAAGGCAAUGACACCUAACUGGUUUGAGAGGAUGAUCAGUCACACUGGAACUGAGACACGGUCCAGACUCCUACGGGAGGCAGCAGUGGGGAAUAUUGCACAAUGGACGAAAGUCUGAUGCAGCAACGCCGCGUGGAGGAUGACACAUUUCGGUGCGUAAACUCCUUUUCUAUAGGAAGAUAAUGACGGUGCUNUAGA